AGAGUUUAGAUCAUGGCUCAGAUUGAACGCUGGCGGCAUGCCUAACACAUGCAAGUCGAGCGGAAACCGAAAGACUAGCUUGCUAUCUGGCGUCGAGCGGCGGACGGGUGAGAUAACGCGCUGGGAAUCUACCUGGAUAGUGGGGGACAACAUUCGGAAACGGAUGCUAAUACCGCAUACGCACUUCACGGAGAGAAACGCAGCGGGAUCUUCGGACCUUGUGCUAUCAGAAUGAGCCCGCGUCGGAUUAGCUAGUUGGUGAGGGUAAUGGCACCAACCAAGGCAACGAUCCGAUAGCUGGUCUGAGAGGAUGAUCAGCACAUCGGGACUGACGACACGGCCCGAACUCCAUACGGGAGGCAGCCAGUGGGGAAAUAUUGGACAAAUGGGGGCAACCCUGAUCCAGCAAUGCCGCCAGAUGUGUCGAAGAAGGCCUAUGGGUUGUAAAGCACUUACAGCCGACGAGAGAAGGUCGUAAAGUUAAAUACACUACUUGCGAAUUUGACGUUUAACUCGCACAGAAGAAGCCCCCGGCUAACUC
rnacentral:rRNA from 1 species